GCAGUCGAGCGGUGCAUUUCUAGCUUGCUAGAAGAUGACGAGCGGCGGACGGGUGAGUAAUACUUAGGAAUCUACCUAGUAGUGGGGGAUAGCUCGGGGAAACUCGAAUUAAUACCGCAUACGACCUACGGGAGAAAGGGGGCAACUUGUUGCUCUCGCUAUUAGAUGAGCCUAAGUCGGAUUAGCUAGAUGGUGGGGUAAAGGCCUACCAUGGCGACGAUCUGUAGCUGGUCUGAGAGGAUGAUCAGCCACACCGGGACUGAGACACGGCCCGGACUCCUACGGGAGGCAGCAGUGGGGAAUAUUGGACAAUGGGGGAAACCCUGAUCCAGCCAUGCCGCGUGUGUGAAGAAGGCCUUUUGGUUGUAAAGCACUUUAAGCAGUGAAGAAGACUCUUCGGUUAAUACCCGGAGACGAUGACAUUAGCUGCAGAAUAAGCACCGGCUAACUCUGUGCCAGCAGCCGCGGUAAUACAGAGGGUGCAAGCGUUAAUCGGAAUUACUGGGCGUAAAGCGAGCGUAGGUGGCUUGAUAAGUCAGAUGUGAAAUCCCCGGGCUUAACCUGGGAACUGCAUCUGAUACUGUCAGGCUAGAGUAGGUGAGAGGAAGGUAGAAUUCCAGGUGUAGCGGUGAAAUGCGUAGAGAUCUGGAGGAAUACCGAUGGCGAAGGCAGCCUUCUGGCAUCAUACUGACACUGAGGCUCGAAAGCGUGGGUAGCAAACAGGAUUAGAUACCCUGGUAGUCCACGCCGUAAACGAUGUCUACUAGUCGUUGGGU
rnacentral:rRNA from 2 species